GGCGGCGUGCUUUAGGGAUGCGAGUCGAGCGGUCUUUUCUGAGAUUUGAAACUUCGGUUGAUUAUCUCUCUUAAGAUAGCGGCAGACGACUGAGUAACACGUAGACAACUUACCUUCGACACAGAGAUAGCCACGCGAAAGUGUGGGUAAUAUCUGAUAGCCCAUAUAGGUGUGAAUCCAGUAUGGUAAAGACGCAAGUCGGUCGAUGAGAGGUCUGCGGCCCAUCAGCUAGUUGGCAGGAUAACAGCCUACCAAGGCAUGGACGGGUAGGGGGCGUGAGAGCGCGACCCCCCAGGAUGGCACUGAGACACGGGCCAUACUCCUACGGGAGGCAGCACUCGGGAAUUUUCCACAAUGGGCGAAAGCCUGAUGGAGCGACACCGCGUGAAGGAUGAAGGAUUUCGGUUCGUAAACUUCUUUUGCCAAGGAAUAGGAAGGAAGGUACUUGGCGAAUAAGGGGCUGCUAACUGCGUGCCAGAAGCAUCGGUGAUACGUGGGCCCCAAGCGUUGUCCGGAUUUAUUGGGCGUAAAGCGAACGUAGGCGGUUAGGAGGAUCUCUUUUUAAAGACCCCAGCUCACCUGGGGAAAGGGAAGAGAUAUCGCCUGACUUGAAUUGAGGAGGGGAGAUCGGAACGCGUGGUGGAGCGGUGAAAUGUGUUGAUAUCACGCGGAACGCCGGUGACGAAGGUUGAUCUCUGGCCUUUAAUUGACGCUCAUGUUCGAAAGCUAGGGGAGCGAAACGGAUUAGAUACCCGUGUAGUCCUAGCCCUAAAUGAUGUCUGCUAGGCGUCGGAUUAAGCGUAACUGUUCCUUCGGGAGCUUUUAUGACAAUUCGGUGUCGAAGUUAACACGAUAAGCAGACCGC
rnacentral:rRNA from 1 species